rnacentral:rRNA from 1 species
AAUAGAUACCCGGGUAGUCCACGCCGUAAACGAUGAGUGCUAAGUGUUGGGGGGUUUCCGCCCCUCAGUGCUGCAGCUAACGCAUUAAGCACUCCGCCCUGGGGAGUACGGUCGCAAGACUGAAACUCAAAGGAAUUGACGGGGGCCCGCACAAGCGGUGGAGCAUGUGGUUUAAUUCGAAGCAACGCGAAGAACCUUACCAGGUCUUGACAUCCCGGUGACCACUAUGGAGACAUAGUUUCCCCUUCGGGGGCAACGGUGACAGGUGGUGCAUGGUUGUCGUCAGCUCGUGUCGUGAGAUGUUGGGUUAAGUCCCGCAACGAGCGCAACCCGUUAUUCUUAGUUGCCAUCAUUCAGUUGGGCACUCUAAGGAGACUGCCGGUGAUAAACCGGAGGAAGGUGGGGAUGACGUCAAAUCAUCAUGCCCCUUAUGACCUGGGCUACACACGUGCUACAAUGGACGGUACAAACGGUUGCCAAACCCGCGAGGGGGAGCUAAUCCGGAUAAAACCGUUCUCGAGUUCGGAUUGUAGGCUAGCAACUCGCCUACA